GAGACCAGGGUUUAAAAACCUUCUUGGGAAAUGGAGCAUGAAAGGGCUACAGCACUACCUAGUGGUGGAGAGAAGUAAAUGCUUUGCAUCCUCUUUGAGAGUACUGCUACGGUUAUGGUUAUGGAUAGAUACCGUGUUUUAUUAUCAGGGCUUUGGCAUAUUUUUCCCAAAGGCACCGAAAUGCCAAGGGAUUUACCUCUCUGCUGUUCUGGUUUUAAUUCAUUUUUUUUUAGGGUCCGGCUUCAUCCACUGCAAGACAUAUUUUUUCAUUUUCCUCUUUAUCUCCUCUGGAUCCGUUGCCUAGAGUCUCAGAUCAUUCAGCAAUCUUUUUAAAAUAUAUGUUAAGGGUUUCCUUUUAUUUUCUUUCCUGCCAAGAGUACAGGCAACGGCACUAGUUGGCUUUUGCACUGAAAGACAUUUGGAUGUUCAAAGUCAGUCUUUUUCACAGCAUAAUCCUUUGCUUCUCAUCCAAGAAGCUUCUUCAGUUUUGACUGAAUGGUGGAGAACUAAAGAGGCUUCUUGGAUAUGAAGUAAAACGUCUUCAAGAAAAAACAAAGUCCAGUUGCCUUUUGAAAAAGCACCUUUGGGACAACCAUGACCUGGAUAACUGAGGAUCUCCAUAGACAAUCCCCGUGUUUCCGUGCCAUAGGCAAAGUGGGACUUUUCAGGAUGAUUUGGACUUCAGCAAGCAUCAGCUCUAGAAUGCCUGGCCUGUAGGAAAUGGAAAGGUACUUGGAUUCGACUCAAAGGAGCUCAGCAUUAUAUCUGGUGGAGAUAUCAGCUUGCAAAGUUGAAAGGGUUCUGGAAUUCUGAUUUAUUGGAAGAGAUGAUCUGGAGAAAUGCAGCUGGCUGGCUGGCUGGGACUCAAGCAGGUCCAGAUUAAUCAGCUCCUGCUUUCUCUCAGCUCACCACUCAACAGACUGACAAGAAGAGUUAUUCAGGUCUGAAAAGAAUAUGAAAGCAGAAGUGAUGCAAUUGCAGGAUUCUCCAGUCUGGAUGGGAAGUUGCCCUCCCCAGCUUUCUCUACCAGCAGCAAGAGUGGCCUCUUAGGUAGGGAUCAUUUCAUACAGUGCCACUCCCCCAAGUUUCAAGAGGCAACUAAAAGCCCAGUGGAUUUUCUUGGCAGAAAGCCCCAGGAAUAGGAUCAACAUUCCAGAAUGAUGUUAUAAUUUUGGGAAACUGCAUUACCAUGAGGAAAGAAAAGAGACGUUGGCAAAAUAUAUUCUUUUAAACAAGGCAAUGAAACAAGGCAAACAGAACAGAUUGGAAAUUACUUGGGAUCAACCAAGAGAUUCAAGUAGGCAGUUUUCUAGGGUGAGGUAGGGGGUGAUGCAAAGUAGGUAUGCCAUGUAGGUAUGCCAUGUAGGGCGCACACAGGCACUGCCAAGAUUAUUGGAGGGGGGCUCUUUUGUGCAGGUGGUUGACCUUGGCUGAUUUCAAAAAGAAGACCAAGAAAUCCAGAGCGAUGAGCUAAAGAACAACUUGAAAAUAAUUCCCCAAAGAAGGCAAUAUAAGAAGCAAUGUUCAUAUUGUUGCCAAGUAAACUAUAUAGAACUUAACUGUUGACUUUGGUUUCAAGGAGUCUUCAUUGUUUCUCUGCAUUUUUAAUUGUUUUAUGGUCAUUUUAGGGCAUGUGAUGCUCUUAUGUAGUUCCUAUCUCCACAUGGCCAAUUUUCAACAUUUGUGAACCCAAAACCUAACAGCAGAC